CACUAGCCCCGAUUGUCGUGAAAAUCCUUUUUUGAAAAAAAAGAUUGUAACAGAAAGCGGGAAAUAGC
rnacentral:sRNA from 1 species